AGUGAACCCUGGCGGUAGGCCUAACACAUGCAAGUCGAACGGCAGCACAGUAAGAGCUUGCUCUUACGGGUGGCGAGUGGCGGACGGGUGAGGAAUACAUCGGAAUCUACUUUUUCGUGGGGGAUAACGUAGGGAAACUUACGCUAAUACCGCAUACGACAUACGGGUGAAAGCAGGGGAUCUUCGGACCUUGCGCGAUUGAAUGAGCCGAUGUCGGAUUAGCUAGUUGGCGGGGUAAAGGCCCACCAAGGCGACGAUCCGUAGCUGGUCUGAGAGGAUGAUCAGCCACACUGGAACUGAGCCACGGUCCCGACUCCUACGGGAGGCAGCAGUGGGGAAUAUUGGACAAUGGGCGCAAGCCUGAUCCAGCCAUACCGCGUGGGUGAAGAAGGCCUUCGGGUUGUAAAGCCCUUUUGUUGGGAAAGAAAAGCAGCAGGUUAAUACCCCGCUGUUCUGACGGUACCCAAAGAAUAAGCACCGGCUAACUUCGUG
rnacentral:rRNA from 1 species